UAUGUUUUCUUGGCGUGGUCGCGGAAGUAAAAGGACGCUUCCGCUACAUGCAGCGGAAGGAAAAAUCUGAUUCUCACGAGCGGCGAGUCCGUUCGCAUCGUCGAAGACAUCCCAGUGGGUCCAUUAACCCUCCUGACGGUGGGGUAAACGGCAGAAAGGAAAAAUAAACAGACGAGAGUUUCUAGGAUGGAGAAUGAAGGGUAGAAGAGCGAGAAGGAGAGGGAGACAAGAGAAGAGGGAGAGUCGAGGGUGGUGAUGGCGUGUCUGGAUAUCGAUCCUGGCUUCCGGGACGUUACCACCGUGCCCCAGCUUUCUACCCUAUAUACACUCGCCCUGUGUGCACGUAUCUAUAAACACUCGGUGCACACAUACACGCGCGUGAAUUCAGAUUCGUGCUAGCCUCGUCCAGUUUGACUUUCGUCCCUUCGUUAGGUCAAACUAUCGCGCCAAAACGCCACAUCGAAUAGCACAUAUUGUAAG